CCUUCUUUUCUUGCAUUGCUAUACUUUCCAAUCCAACUUAAAAGAUAGCAGCAUGCUCUUAUUCAAUUAUAAACUCAUCUAUGAGUCCUCCAACUUUGUGUAACCAAUAAUGUUACUCAACUGCCCGUGAAGAGUAAAUUUCGUUCCUUUGCCACUGUACCAAGGAUAGUUAGUUGCUCAAUGCUUAACACGGUGCAAUCUUUCUAAGAGAAUCAACUCAGGUGUGGAUAGGCGAGGUGAGGACCAUCAACUGUAGGCUGCCUCCAGAUAUCAACUCUUGGUUGGUGAGCUCCACAUCUUCCUGGAGUAUUGCCGAGUCACAUUCUAUAUAUGUUACUUUGUUUUAUGAAGAUGUCGGGGACCCUGUCCCGACUUAUAUAUUAUGAUCAUGCUUUCUUAGAGGUUUUGCAGACAGUGUCCUAUGUAUAGCUUUAGGUACGACAUGUCAACAGCCUUGUCGGCCCCUAUGUAUAUAUAUAAACCUUUCUGAAUUA